rnacentral:lncRNA from 1 species
AAUAAUCAUUCCAAUAGUAAGUAAAUGUAAUACAUUGCUAAUAUUGCAUAAUAUUUAUUAUAGAAAUACAAAUUAUGUACAACAUUAGAAGGAACUCAUGAGUAAUUUCUCCUUUGACAAUCUUCAUGCCUGCUUUAAGCCUUGCAACUUCACCACUUGAAAAUGCAUCAACCAGUAUCGACCACUUGGAUGUUAUUUUGCAUGAUUCAAAUUACAAAAAUUGGAUAAGUUAAGAAUAUAUGCAACAAUAUUAGUGAAAAGACAAAAAUGCCCCUACCUUGUAUUCUGUCAAAAUGUCUAUGUGUGAGAUAAUUUUCUCAAUGUCUUAAAAGUAAAAGUGUUUUCCUAUGUUUUCGGUAUACCCUCCUUCGAUUGCUUCUGGAAACUCUUCUUCUUCUAUUCAUGGCUAGAACCUGGGGUGAGUGAGACCAAUCGGCCAUGGUUUAGCUGCUUCAAGCCAAUCAUGAUCCAGUCAGCUAUAAUACAGCAACUAAUUUACAAUGAAACGACAUUCACUCGACUCUUUUGGUGCACAAUAGAAUCACAUGCUUCGUCUCCUCUUUACCCAGCCAUGUCUGAACCACCACCUGCCCAAAAAAUAUAUACGAAUAUAAUAUGUCAUUUACAAUAAAUAUGAGAAAAAAUGUAUGUUGCAACUGGUAAUAAAAGUAUAUCUAUGAGUUUAUAUUCAAGCAACAAAUCUAGCAUUGAAAAGUCAAAAUGUACCUCUUGUACUUUGUCUCCAGCUCGAACAACCAAUUUGUACUGAUUUUUGAACAUGGAUGCCAUAUAAACCUGCUAAGAAUUCGUAAAAGACCCAAAUUUAUUCAAUAUCCAAUACCUAAAACCAAUCAAGGAAGAAAAAGAAGAUCACCAGAAAUGUUGGGACGAAAGUCUCAUACAAACACUUUCUUCUUUAUUUGGACUAGAAAAGAAACAAACCUAAAAGUGCUAUAUAAACAAACUAGCAAAGACUGUUUCUUUUUGGGACUGAAUAAAUGAUCUUUUCCCUUUAUUCAAUUCCCAUCCAACAACAUUAGGCACAUGAUCUUGAUUUGGCCAUGCUGAUUCAAAUAAAAGUAAAUAAAAAAAAGUCUCAUGAGUGCCCUUGCCUUAUUUUUCUUUUCUUGAAGACAAGAGGAUCAACACUUGAAGAGAAUCCAAACCUACAAAGUCUGACCUUUUUCUUGUCAUCUUCUUCGGUGGGUGUUACAUAUUUUAUCCCAAAUCUGAAAACAAAGAAUACAUUGAUAUGAUUAUAUGUCAAAAUAAUAUCUUCUUUUUAAUUUAUGAUGAGUUAUUAUUAUUUGAUGAUAUGUUCAUAAAAACCACUAUGUUGCAGCCUUUUUUUUUUCAGCUCCUUCACUUCCUUUGUGACACCAGAACCUUCCGAGCCAGGUGCAGUAGCAAACCUGAAGUACAAAAAGUCAUUUUUAUUAAGUAACAACAGUGUUGCAGAAAUCAACAUUGGUAGCUGAUUAAUUGCAUGACAACCUUGAACCAAUUACGAUUACGGUGCUUGGCAGAAAUUGGUCAUAAUCGGUCAAACUCGGGCUUGUCGGUCCUUAGCGGCCUUGGUGGUCCUCGGCGGUCAUAGGCAGGAAAUAUUUAAAAAAUUCCAAAAAAAUAAUUAUCAAAUAUUACAACAAAAUUUUAAAAUUUUAAACUUUUAAGCUUUCAAAUUUUUAAAUAUUAUACUAAAAUUUUUAAAAUUUCAAAAUUUUAAAGCUUAAAAUUUCUAAAUACUUAAUUUUUUAGGAAAUAUUAAUUUUUUAAAUAAUUUUAUUAAUAAUUUAGGGUCCCCGAUUAAUCCCUGCCGAGUCUGAUUAAUCGUUUAUUGUUAGUCAACCGUCAAGCUACCACCGAACGAUUUUUACAAACUUGAGUAAUAAUAAAAAUCGUUAAAAGUACAUAAAAUCUAAAAUAAUAAGCUAUUUUUUUACAACUUUUACUGACUUUUUGACAAAAACUAUUAGUGAAACCAAAUAGAGGUACGACAGUGAAAAUCAUCUAUAUUUUAAUAAAUCAAGAUAUUUGUAUGCAAAACUGUAGUUAGAAAUAGUUACAUGGUGGAUUAUAUUUUUAAAUAAACAUAAAGACAUCUAUCGUAACUCUGGUUNUUUUUUUUUUUUUUUUUUUUUUUUUUUUUUUUGCUGAAAUAGAUGUCUCGUAUUGAUAUUCAAUACAAAUAUUGCACAUUUUCACUCCCUAAUGGGUCCUUAACUCUUUUAGCACUAAAAAUUCCAGAAAAGUAAAUUUAACUGUGUUAGAUUUCACCAAGCCAAAUUUGAAAAGGAAGUGAGUGGCUGCUAAAGUAACAUGACCACAUAUUUCCACCUGGAUAGAAGAAACUGAGAACAUAAUAAUUCUAACCUGAAAAAAUAAAGAUAAAAGCACAUUAGAUAGAAUUUAAAUUCAAGUCAACAGAAGUCAAUACACACGGGGUGUAUUCUUCCAUGUCUUGCCACCACAAUUGCAUUCUGUCUUAAAAAAAUUAAAAAUUAAUAAAUGAUAAAAAUAAGUUAAAAUUGUUACAAGAAUAGACAUUUAGAAAUACAUACAUGUUAGAAUAUACCAUUGUCAUAUGCGUCCAUGAAACUUUUUGAUUAGACAUUAUUCUUAAUCGUUUGUCACCGAUCCAUUCUUCCAUGUCUUGUAUUACGAUCAAAUAACUAUAGAAAAAAAUAUGCCAUAUCCAAUCAAGUAUAUGGUAACAUACAACUGAAUUGUUUAGUAUAGUAUAAAGAAUACAAACUAUAUACACAUCAUUUGAAUCUUGCAAAGGAAUACCAAGCUGUUAACAUCAAUGUCUUAAAAGUAAAAGUGUUUUUCUAUGUUUUCGGUAUACCCUCCUUCGAUUCCUUCUGGAAACUCUUCUUCUUCUAUUCAUGGCUAGAACCUGGGCUGAGUGAGACCAUUCGGCCAUGGUUUAGCUGCUUCAACCCAACCAUGAUCCAGUCAGCUAUAAUACAACAACUAAUUUACAAUGAAACGACAUUCACUCGACUCUUUUGGUGCACAAUAGAAUCACAUGCUUCAUCUCCUCUGUACCCAGCCAUGUCUGAACCACCACCUGCCCAAAAAAUAUAUACGAAUAUAAUAUGUCAUUUACAAUAAAUAUGAGAAAAAAUGUAUGUUGCAACUGGUAAUAAAAGUAUAUCUAUGAGUUUAUAUUCAAGCAACAAAUCUGGCAUUGAAAAGUCAAAAUAUACCUCUUGUACUUUGUCUCCAGCUCGAACAACCAAUUUGUACUGAUUCUUGAACAUGGAUGCCAUAUAAACCUGCUAAGAAUUCAUAAAAGACCCAAAUUUAUUCAAUACCCGAUACCUAAAACCAAUCAAGGAAGAAAAAAAAGAUCACCAGAAAUGUUGGGACGGAAGUCUCAUACAAACACUUUCUUCUUUAUUUGGACUAGAAAAGAAACAAACCUAAAAGUGCUAUAUAAACAAACUAGCAAAGACUGUUUCUUUUUGGGACUGAAUAAAUGAUCUUUUCCCUUUAUUCAAUUCCCAUCCAACUGCAUUAGGCACAUGAUCUUGAUCUGGCCAUG